UGCACCCUCAAUCGCCGCCAACUUCACUGGCUUCUCUUUACUUUACCAAAGAACGUGGAGCGAACAGCACCGCGUUGCGAAAGAUAACUAAUUAAAAAAUGUGAACCAGUGAUUACUAGGUGCUUGGUUCAAGCGCUGGCAUGUGUGGAAUAAAUUGAAACAAAAUGGAGUCAUGUGCAACACGUGUUUCUGGCAGAGAUCGACAUAAGAUCGUUCAUGCGACUUCGUUACGGAAUAUUAAUGGGGAUCUCUUCAUAAAAUGUUUAUUACAUCGCACAAUGGUCACACGAGGCUUACAAACCUAGUUUCUAUUGCGUUCAAAUCGUUCAUUCGACUUCAUUACGGAAUAUUAAUGGGGAUCUCUAAAAGUUCAUUACAACACACAAUGGAUAAAAAAUACUGUGACGAACGAAGCUUACCAAGCCAGUUAAAAAGGUGUUAAAGCAGUACAAAAAUGCCAAUGGUUCAUUUAUCCAGGCCAGGAAGGUUUGGAACCUUUGAUGAAAAAUAUUAUAAUAUUGUGGAACCAUAAAUAAAUAAAACUCAAUUUGCGUUGUUAAAAA